rnacentral:lncRNA from 1 species
UGUGAUAUCUUCACAGUUUGAGUGAUGAAAAUGAGAGCGUGGCCAUUAGCCUGGCAUUGGAGACCUUUCCACAAACCUGUGGUGUCAGAAGCACUACAGCUGGAGCAUGGGGAGAGCGAGAGGGAAGAGAUCUUUGUAUGCGCUUCCAUGGUGGUUGACUACGGCAAGCUGCCCGCUGGCAAAACCCUCCUGAAGAACCUGCAGAAAGGCCACAGCAGCGUGCAGCUCGACUUUGACCACAAGAACACGCGUUGCAGAGUCGAGGGACCAUUCACCGAGGUUCAGGCCUUCAGCAGAGACCUGCUGGGCAGCCUGAACCUCAAGAGCCAAGCAGCUGGAGCUACCCUGCCUCCGGGAUCCAGCCACGUGGCCAAAGACACCAAAAUGCACGAUCACCAGCAAGUGCCUCCCUCCACUGGGUCAGCACUGAAGACCACAGCGCUGUCACGCUGGGACUACGGGAGCGAAGGGGCAGCUGGAGGCCCGUCACCUCGAGGCCCAGUGGAUGGGGAAGCUGUGGGACAGCUGGAGGACUUUUCCCUCGUGAUGGACUCGGACAUUUACUUGUACAUGCAGAGGCUCUGUGCUGCCGAGUACCAAGGUGUGCUGCAGCAGCACUUCGUGGAUGUGGUGGACAUCAGCAACGAUGAUAUCACCAUACUGUACCUCCAGCCGUCCCCGGGGACGUCUGGGGACACGGACGCCUUGCGACAGGCUCACCUGGCCCUGCAGCAGCUCUACCAGCAACUGGAACUGAGCUUGCGUAAGGAGAAGAUCUCGAAGCGGGGACUGGAUAUGGACAGCCAGGCACUUGGGGCUCUGACACGUGAGCUGCAGGAGGUGUUCCCCUUGUUGCUUUGCCACGAGGAUGGGAAGCAGCUUUACCUCAUUGGAAACCUUGUUGAUGUCUCGCAGGCCAAGCAGUACAUCCAGCACUUCAGUGCCAGAAGCACCCCGCAGACGGUUGUCAUGCUCAGCAGCUCCCAGCCCUCCCGGCCAGCAGUGUCCCACGCCACAGAGGCUGCAGGACACAAGCCCAAAGCUCCUGUGGACACCUCGUCCCCAAAGCUGAGCCCAGGCAGGCCAGAAGGGAAAGCUGAGCACAAGCUAGCUGCCAACUUCAGCGCUCUGAAAACUGGCAGGUCUCAGGCUGGCCAGGGCCUCUUGCCGAGCCGGGACUCUCCUCCAGGGACGCAGGUGCAGCUUUCUGAGAAAAACUCACCCGAGACGCAUGCUCUGGGUCCCGGUGACCCCAAAACACCAACCCAGCUGUACCAGCCUCAUGUCUCCGCACUGGUUUUGGGGUCAGCAGCGGCAGAGUCUCAGCAGAAUGACCCCAAAGAACAGGACCGUGUGAAAGGAGGUGCCAGGCUUGCAAGACACAAGAGUCUGUCUGCCUUUGUGGGCAAAGAAAACAGCGCUUUGCAGCACCCUGGGGACUCCAAAGGCUCCGAUCCCACCAAGCACUGUUCCCUUGCUGACACCUCUAGUACCUUUCGGUCUCUGAGCCUCUUUGACACCACAAGGAGCUCUUCUGCUUUCGACUCCAAACCCUCUGAAUCCAGACCUGUGCUGCGACGCUCCAACAGCUUCUCGCUGCCAAAGCCAAAGGAAAGCAACAAGCCCCAAGACACCGUCAGGGCAGGCAGUGGAGGCAAUAGGGUGAGUGAAGAAAUGAGCCUGGACUCUCUGCAGUGGUCUUACCUGAAGGACGUGAACUGCUCUGCUAUCGAGGAGUUGUGCAGGAGUGCAGGUGUGCAGAUCUCCGAACGCUCUACCGGGGACUGCACGGUGCUGUCGUUGCAGGCAGAGGACAGGGCCAAGCUUCUCCAGGUGAAAUGGAAAGUGGAAACUCUUGUGCAGAGGUGUCCCGACCUUGUGUGUCAGAUCAUGAGCUACUCCGAGCUUGCUGUCGAAGGGCCGGAUGACGAUGCCCUGAGUGAGCUGUGCAGCCUCUUGCGAGGCAGUUCCCUGCAGGUUGGGCUCAACAAAGACAAGUACAAGCUCUGUCUCGCCUGCCCCAAGGAGAUGCUGCCAGGAGUGACUGAGGCCUUCCAGGUGUUUUCUUCCAGGAGGCUCCGUGCUCUGAAGUCUUCAUCCUUAUCUCCAGGAGCAGAGAGAGCUUCGAGCCCGGGGCACCCUGGUGCUGUCCAGCCCAGCAGAAGCCAGGACACCGUGCUGGGGGCAGCCCUUCCCUGA